GCUGGCGGCAUGCCUAACACAUGCAAGUCGAACGAGUGCCUUCGGGUGCUAGUGGCGCACGGGUGCGUAACGCGUGGGAAUCUGCCCCUUGGUUCGGAAUAACAGUUAGAAAUGACUGCUAAUACCGGAUGAUGACGUAAGUCCAAAGAUUUAUCGCCCGAGGAUGAGCCCGCGUAGGAUUAGCUAGUUGGUGUGGUAAAGGCGCACCAAGGCGACGAUCCUUAGCUGGUCUGAGAGGAUGAUCAGCCACACUGGGACUGAGACACGGCCCAGACUCCUACGGGAGGCAGCAGUGGGGAAUAUUGGACAAUGGGCGCAAGCCUGAUCCAGCAAUGCCGCGUGAGUGAUGAAGGCCUUAGGGUUGUAAAGCUCUUUUACCCGGGAUGAUAAUGACAGUACCGGGAGAAUAAGCUCCGGCUAACUCCGUGCCAGCAGCCGCGGUAAUACGGAGGGGGCUAGCGUUAUUCGGAAUUACUGGGUGUAAAGCGCACGUAGGCGGCUUUGUAAGUUAGAGGUGAAAGCCUGGAGCUCAACUCCAGAAUUGCCUUUAAGACUGCAUCGCUUGAAUCCAGGAGAGGUGAGUGGAAUU
rnacentral:rRNA from 1 species